rnacentral:lncRNA from 1 species
AAGGGAUUGUGAGAAAUGAGUCUGAGUUGAUGAAGCCUCCUGAAGAAUGGAGAGUGAUGUCAAUUUCUAAGGAUGAGUUAAUAUGAGGUUAUCUCUAUGAGUCUGAUUCAAUCUAAAGUUUGUUGAAUGUUAACUAACAAAGUUAGAAUUAGUUAGUUAGGGAUGAAUAGUUAGUUAGGAUUUCGAAAGUGAAAUGUUAAAUUUGAUUUUCUGUUUAAGUGAUGAAUGAAAUUCAACUUCUGUUAAACUCUGCAGUUAGAUGUUAGUUAAUUGUUAGUUAUCAAACUCAAUUUUUGUUAAGUUGGAAGUGUUUAGUUAGUUAUUUAAGCUCGAUUCAGCUAGAAGUGCAGUUAGAUGAAACUCAAUUAAUGGUUAGCUAUUAUGCCUUUGAUGUAUGUAGAAUUGGUGCAUGAUGAUUGUAUGAUGUUAGUUACCUUUCCCUACUACUGAAGGAACUGUUGUAUGUUAGUAUACACUUACUGUAGGGUUAUUGUUCAAUGUUUGAUGCUUAAUUGGUACAUGUUACAUACAUUUUCUGCAGGAUAAUUGUUGCAGGGUGCUAGGCCUGUUAUGGAGUGUUUAGCUUUAUGUUGCCAUUCCUUGCUUGCUCAUUGAUGCAGGAUAGAUGUUUAGUUUUUAGGCUUUGGAUGGUUGGGCUGCAGAAUCGUGGCAGGUAGUGCUCAUGCGUGUGUGACUGUUGGAUUGAUUGCAUGUCUGCUAAGUUAGUGAAAUGGUUGUAGGCUGAAGUUGGAUUGGUGAUGCUUGCUGCAGGAUUUUGGUUUUCAUGUGAUAGGCAUUUGUUUACGUAUGUGGUCAUUGUAGAUGCUUGAUGCAGAAUGUUGUGAGGUGUGAGCUGUUGUAUUGAUGCAAUGACAAUAGUUGUGCAUUUUUGUAUUCACUUGUUGCAAGUUUAUUGUGAGGUAUGUUCAUGUUGUUGUGUGACUGUUGUAGGCAGGUGUGAGGUAUGAUGGCAAUGGUCAUGUAUGCUAAUACUUUGCCUAGGUUUUUCUUAAGUUGAUAUGAAAUGGUUUAGGUUGGAUUUGGUUAUGUAUUGACAUGUGAAUGGUUUUGAAAUGGUAAUGUGGUUUAGAAUGUGGUCAUGUAAUCUUAUGGUAUUGAAAUGAACAUGUAUUGAAUCAUGACAUUGCCUUAUGUGUUUUUUUGGAUUUUGGUGUUUUGUAGGUGAUGAAUAAAUGCCAAGAUAAUCUUAACUUGAAGACCAAGGAACUAGGACUUAGGGAUGGUAGAAUGCUGAGUUGACUUUGGUCAACUGGCUGACCAAAAAGUCAACAAUUAUCCAAAAAGUCAACUUAUACAAAAAUGAUGUACUUUGUAAUCCUUUUUCAAUGCAAUGUAUAUGAACAAUGUACUUAAUGGAUCUUAUAAAUGCAAUGUAUUUCCUAAUUAAAAUGAAUGUAAAAGUGCAAAAAACGUAAAUUCACAUAACCAUUUUCCAAAUUCAAUGCAACCAAUUGGAAACAAGUACUCUGAAUGAAUGAAAUUG